AUCGCAGGCCCUAGCCCAGCUGUAAGACAGAUAGGAGUUCGUGGCACACUCUGGGUGCCUGGUGAGGUGUGGAAGCAUGGCUAAAAUGUCUUGAAGCUGUUGUCAGUGGUUCUUAUGUUCAUAGCAAGUACAAGCUGCUUGUGAGCCCAUUGGUUCUGAGCUCCUGGCUCCAGCUACAGAGGCAACAGGGACCACUGGAAGAAUUCAGAAUGAUAGAAAUGGAGUUUUAGAAUGGUUGUCUGCAUAGGAGGUUCCCAGGUAUAAAUACAGGACACCCAGGGACAGGUGAAUUCCAUAUGAGGGCUUGCCACCAGGCAGACCUGUGGACCAACGCUAGAGGCACUUUCUAGAUGCAAUUUGCAAGAAGCCUUUGAUGUGGUUCCCACCACCAGCCUUCUUAG
rnacentral:lncRNA from 1 species